GGUACUAUGGCCGAGUUGGUCUAAGGCGUGAGAUUUAAGCUUUUGUAAUAUCUCUCAUCUCGAAAGAGGCCUGGGUUCGAACCCCAGUGGUACCA
rfam:Pneumocystis murina B123 supercont1.9, whole genome shotgun sequence.